rnacentral:rRNA from 1 species
CGCGGCCUAUCAGCUUGUGGUGGGGUAACGGCUCACCAAGGCGACGACGGGUAGCCGGCNUGAGAGGGCGACCGGCCACACUGGGAAUGAGACACGGCCCAGACUCCUACGGGAGGCAGCAGUGGGGAAUAUUGCACAAUGGGCGAAAGCCUGAUGCAGCGACGCCGCGUGGGGGAUGAAGGCCUUCUGGUUGUAAACCCCUUUCAGCAGGGAAGAAGCGAAAGUGACGGUACCUGCAGAAGAAGCGCCGGCUAACUACGUGCCAGCAGCCGCGGUAAUACGUAGGGUGCAAGCGUUGUCCUGAAUUAUUGGGCGUAAAGAGCUCGUAGGCGGUUUGUCGCGUCUGCUGUGAAAACCCGAGGCUCAACCUCGGGCCUGCAGUGGGUACGGGCAGACUAGAGUGCGGUAGGGGAGACUGGAAUUCCUGGUGUAGCGGUGGAAUGCGCAGAUAUCAGGAGGAACACCGAUGGCGAAGGCAGGUCUCUGGGCCGCAACUGACGCUGAGGAGCGAAAGCAUGGGGAGCGAACAGGAUUAGAUACCCUGGUAGUCCAUGCCGUAAACGUUGGGCACUAGGUGUGGGGCUCAUUCCACGAGCUCCGUGCCGCAGCAAACGCAUUAAGUGCCCCGCCUGGGGAGUACGGAAUUCGGAG